rnacentral:rRNA from 1 species
CCUACGCGGCGCUGCAGUAGGGAAUAUUGCACAAUGGGCGCAAGCCUGAUGCAGCCAUGCCGCGUGUGUGAAGAAGGCCUUCGGGUUGUAAAGCACUUUCAGCGGGGAGGAAGGCGUUAAGGUUAAUAACCUUGUCGAUUGACGUUACCCGCAGAAGAAGCACCGGCUAACUCCGUGCCAGCAGCCGCGGUAAUACGGAGGGUGCAAGCGUUAAUCGGAAUUACUGGGCGUAAAGCGCACGCAGGCGGUCUGUCAAGUCGGAUGUGAAAUCCCCGGGCUCAACCUGGGAACUGCAUUCGAAACUGGCAGGCUAGAGUCUUGUAGAGGGGGGUAGAAUUCCAGGUGUAGCGGUGAAAUGCGUAGAGAUCUGGAGGAAUACCGGUGGCGAAGGCGGCCCCCUGGACAAAGACUGACGCUCAGGUGCGAAAGCGUGGGGAGCAAACAGGAUUAGAUACCCGGGUAGUC